rnacentral:rRNA from 1 species
GGYUSAMCUUCUMUGSAUUUUAACGCGAARSACCUUACCUGGGUUUGACAUGCACAGGACGCCAGUAGAGAUAUUGGUUCCCUUGUGGCCUGUGUGCAGGUGGUGCAUGGCUGUCGUCAGCUCGUGUCGUGAGAUGUUGGGUUAAGUCCCGCAACGAGCGCAACCCUUGUCUCAUGUUGCCAGCACGUUAUGGUGGGGACUCGUGAGAGACUGCCGGGGUCAACUCGGAGGAAGGUGGGGAUGACGUCAAGUCAUCAUGCCCCUUAUGUCCAGGGCUUCACACAUGCUACAAUGGCCGGUACAAAGGGCUGCGAUGCCGUGAGGUGGAG